CUUUCGGCGAGAUUUGGGCGUGGAAACCCUUUAUUGCUAACAAGAUAAGAAGUAAUUAUGAUAUGCAUUGUCCACGAGUCUCAACUACAUUAUCAGGUUAAAUCUGUCUCCCUCUGAACAUCGGGACGAAAUCGUUUAUGCUGUAAGCAAUAUCAACAUAUUUAUGAGCGUAUUGUAACAACGGAGAUUACAGCGAUUAUGGAGCUGAUGUUUGCGCAUGACUCCUGGGCAGCAGAAGUUUGAUAAUACUCCAUGCAACAGACCUGCAUCAACAGUUCGCACAAACAGACGAUGCCAGAGACAACAACACUGCAGUUUCACGAAUCAAUGUAAUUAGUUCGACUGGUUUUCAAACGUACUGAUUUGAUUGAAUGUAUCUUAAAAGAUAAUAAAUAUUAGCCAUAUUGAUUCAGAAUAUAUAUAUAUUCACAUACGACACACUUUAUCUAUAAUGUACAAAAUAGAAAAUAUUGACGGAAGGAAUAUUUGCUGGAAAUGAAUGCUGAAUAUAGUCAGAAUUUGGAAGAAAACUCGAUAUUGAUACAGAUACAAUAUCUUAAUCGAAUGUGCGAGCCUGCGAAAGCGCAAUAUAGAACGUACAUUUGAUCAAACUCAAAGAUAUACUUGUUUGUCAACGAUCACAUUAAGUUGUUUUGGUCAGAAACAAGGUUACUAAAUUGCAUCUGCAUGUAACAGAAAGGUGGUCUGAUCAAUGGAAAAAAUAGAUGAUUAUAAGCGGUUUUAUAAUAUUAGCACUAAGUGAUAUGUUUACGGCUCAUGGCGUAAUAUCUCGUGUGUUUCUUCAUGUCUGUGUUUCUUCAUGUCUCUGUGGUAUUAUGAACUGGAAGUAAAAUUAAAUAAUAUUAACAUAUGAAUAUUCAACUCGCAUUAGUGUCAGUCUUUGAUAAAAUAAAACCAUAUUUAUUACAUCUAUAUAACGAAAACUGAUUAUUCAACUAUGGAUUCUUUUGUCUUUGGGCCUAAUUAUCUAAAACAUCAAGAGUUUAAUCUACGAGAAAUUAUAAUCUAUGUUCUUUUAAACGAGUAUUGCUUAUUUUAUUCAUAAAUUUAAUAAACAUUUCAUGCAAC